rnacentral:rRNA from 1 species
GGCUCAACCCGUGAUCUGCUUUUAAUACUGUCGGUCUUGAGUAUGGGAGAGGGAGAUGGAAUUCCAGGUGUACCGUUGGAAUGCGUAGAUAUCUGGAAGUACACCAGUUGCGAAGGCGGUCUCCUGGACCAAUACUGACGCUGAUGCUCGAAAGCUGGGGGAGCGAACAGGAUUAGAUACCCUGGUAGUCCCAGCCGUAAACGAUGGACACUAGUUGCCGGAGGAGUCAAUCCCUUCGGUGACGAAGCUAACGCAUUAAGUGUCCCGCCUGGGGAGUACGCUCGCAAGGGUGAAACUCAAAGGAAUUGACGGGGGCCCGCACAAGCGGUGGAGCAUGUGCUUUAAUUCGAUGCAACGCGAAGAACCUUACCUGGGUUUGACAUGGGGGUGAAAGUUUCCAGAGAUGGAAGCCUUUCCUUCGGGAACACCCCACACAGGUGCUGCAUGGUUGUCGUCAGCUCGUGUCGUGAGAUGUUGGGUUAAGUCCCGCAACGAGCGCAACCCCUGCCCUUAGUUGCCAUCAGGUAGAGCUGGGAACUCUAAGGGGACAGCUUGGUAUAACCAGGAGGAAGGUGGGGAUGACGUCAAAUCAUCAUGGCUCUUACGCCCAGGGCUAGACACGUGCUACAAUGGCAGGUACAGUGGGAUGCCAGCCUGCGAAGGUGAGCUAAUCCCUUAAAACCUGUCUCAGUCCGGAUUGGAGUCUGCAACUCGACUCCAUGAAGUUGGAAUCGCUAGUAAUCGCGGAUCAGCAUGCCGCGGUGAUACGUUCCCGGGCCUUGUACACACCGCCCGUCAAGCCAUGAAAGGCGGUAGUACCCGAAGUCGCGUACCCAACCGUGAGGAGGGAAGCGCCGAAGGUAAGAC